rnacentral:misc_RNA from 1 species
UCUCCGUAGGUGAACCUGCGGAGGGAUCAUUACAGAGUUCAUGCCCUACCGGGUAGAUCUCCCACCCUAUGUUAUUAUUACUUUGUUGCUUUGGCGGGCCGUUAGGCUCCGGCCCGACUACCGGCCCCGGCUGGUAAGCGCCCGCCAGAGGACCCAAAACCCUGAAUAUUAGUGUCGUCUGAGUACUAUAUAAUAGUUAAAACUUUCAACAACGGAUCUCUUGGUUCAG